rnacentral:lncRNA from 1 species
AAUAGAAGAGCGUGCAAGCCCAUUCUCGUGCUUGCCGGAUCCACUAUCUUUUAGACCCCUUGCAUCAAUCUUUGUAGGUAUACAUACUGACUAUACAUACACUGUAAUUAGAUAAAUGCAAUUGCCAUAUUGCCAUGGAAGACAAGUCAAGGAUUAGACCAAACGUCACUUACAGGUUCCUUGCAUAUCCAUCUUCAGAACAUGCGCACACAUCCACCUCCUCCUUUAGCUGGUGCUGCCAUCACGCCACUGGUGGUGCUGUUAUGCGACGCCCUCGCAUGUCUUGGCUCUCAGGACGAGUUGAGCCAACGCGUGUAGGGGAGGGUGAGCACCGGCGGCGAGCUGCGGUGUCUCGUGCAGGCAUCCGCGAGGCUACGCCAGCACGUGCAGACGUGCACAAGCACCGCCGGCGAGCUUGAGUUGCUCGCGCAUGCAUCAACAAGGCGUGGGUGAGCUGCGCCGGCGCGAGCAGGCAUGGGCGCGUACUGACGGCGACCUGCGGUUGCUUUCAUGGAUGUGGUAAGGCAAGCUGCGAUGGUGCACGCAGGUGUUGACGAGAGACGGCGGUGACCUGUGGUUUGCUUCCAUGGGCGUGCUCGAGCUAAGGUGGCUCGGGCAAGCACGAUCAACAAGGAUGAGGUAGGCUCAGCAAUCCAUCCAACCAGCCAGCAAACCCAUCGAAUAAGGUUCAAAGAUUCAAGGGCACUUUGGUCCUUUCAGGUGUUAGAAAAUAAAAAAUAAAAACAAUGGGAAAAAUAAAAAUGGCAUGUUAAUCAAAGUGCACACGAGCUGGAUGACAUUUUUACGAAAUCAAUCUUGACAGUGGCAUUUUUACGAAGCCCCAUAUUAAAAGUGGCAAAUAACCAAAUGUCUCGUUCUUAAAACAGUACUGGAAGCGCCAUGGCUUAUACU